CCGCACCAUUACAGACUUUUAAAGUGAAGGCAUAUAGUGAAGUCCGUGUGCUGGGAACCAGCUGUUCGUGUAACUGGGAGUUUAGUUGCAUGUAGAAUACAUUGCUUUAAAUGACCAUGAACUCUUUGAGGACAGGGCAGUGCCUUCCUCGAUCUGAAGUUGGCACCUGAUAUAGAGUAGACAUCCAGAAACUUUCACUGAAUGAAAUGAAGCCAAUGCUUGUUCCAGAGGGUAAAUAUUUUCUCCCCUGAAACCCACACCCCCCCUAAAUUAUAAAGAUAAUACAUACGAGCUAA